AUCUUCGGCCUGCUGCGGGCAGAUGAAAUGGAUAUGCGCAUCCAUGCCGCCGGCAGUGACGAUGCGGCCUUCGCCGGCGAUCACAUCGGUGGACGGCCCGAUGAUGAUGCUGACACCCGGCUGGGUAUCGGGGUUGCCCGCCUUGCCGAUGGCGGCAAUGAUGCCGUCGCGCAGCCCGAUAUCCGCCUUGUAGAUGCCGGUAUGAUCAACGAUCAGCGCGUUUGUGAUCACGGUAUCUGCCGCGCCGCCGGCCCGGCUGAUCUGGCUCUGGCCCAUGCCAUCGCGGAU
rnacentral:sRNA from 1 species